CCUACGGGUGGCAGCAGUGGGGAAUAUUGGGCAAUGGGCGCAAGCCUGACCCAGCAACGCCGCGUGAAGGAAGAAGGCUUUCGGGUUGUAAACUUCUUUUAGCAGGGACGAAGCAAGUGACGGUACCUGCUGAAUAAGCCACGGCUAACUACGUGCCAGCAGCCGCGGUAAUACGUAGGUGGCAAGCGUUAUCCGGAUUUACUGGGUUUCAAGGGUGCGUAGGCGGUCCGUUAAGUCAGCGGUAAACUUGCGGGGCUCAACCCCGUCGAGCCGUUGAAACUGGCAGACUUGAGGUGGCGAGAAGUACGCGGAAUGCGCGGUGUAGCGGUGAAAUGCAUAGAUAUCGCGCAGAACUCCGAUUGCGAAGGCAGCGUACCGGCGCCAGACUGACGCUGAGGCACGAAAGCGUGGGGAUCGAACAGGAUUAGAUACCCGUGUAGUC
rnacentral:rRNA from 1 species